rnacentral:rRNA from 1 species
UACGAAGGGGGCUAGCGUUGCUCGGAAUCACUGGGCGUAAAGCGCACGUAGGCGGAUUGCUAAGUCAGGGGUGAAAUCCUGGAGCUCAACUCCAGAACUGCCUUUGAUACUGAGAAGCUUGAGUUCGGGAGAGGUGAGUGGAACUGCGAGUGUAGAGGUGAAAUUCGUAGAUAUUCGCAAGAACACCAGUGGCGAAGGCGGCUCACUGGCCCGGUACUGACGCUGAGGUGCGAAAGCGUGGGGAGCAAACAGG